CAGUGUAUAGCUUAUAUUAAAGCAUAUUUUUUACAUAAAUAUGAAAAAUGAUUAUUUUACUUCUGA
rnacentral:tRNA from 1 species